CAUCACAUUUUUUAUGCCUAAAACAGAAAAAACGAAAAGAAUCGUUUCACACGAGUUAGCUCGCCGCAUCUAACCCCAAACACACUUCGAUCGGCGACUGAAUUGGCGAUUAUGGAGAACAGUGAAUGCCCAGAGCUUGGACUUGUUGGAAUUUUGUUGAUUUCGCUAGAAUAUUAACGAGAGCUGCAGUUUUUGUGUUAGAUCGGCGGUUGAAGAAGCAAUCUGUUUAUGGAAACAAAAUGUGAUAAACAGAGGAAGUAGAUGAUGAAAAAACAUGGCAAAGACGCAGAGCUUUUAGCUGAAUUUUGAGAUGUUCAAAUAUUUAGAGAAAGAAGAACUUGAAAGCUUCACAAAUCCCAUUUCAUUCGGUUAGUGGAGCUCUAGAGAUUUAUCAUCCUAAUCAUGAUGCGUUUCGGGUUCGUAUUUUGACCAACGGCAGGGUGUUCGUUACUAAAACGACACAACAAACCCAAGUGUUUUGGGAGUGAAUUAGACAAGUAAAACAGAUCCUCAAGGUUGUAUUGAUUGUAUUAAACCAUUAACCAUGCUUCAAAGUUUGUAUUGAUUUGGGUUUGAUUGUUCAUUGAUUUUGGGUUUUUGGGUUUUCUUAGUCUAGAGUUGUACCACAUACUGCGGCGGACCUGAUUGAGUAAUUUCUUGAUACCGAAGCUCAGGAAAUUAAGUACCAGAUCGCUAGGCUUCAAGGAAGGUUAUAUCGUUAUCUAUUGAGAAGCUUGGAAAUGAGCUCUCACAUGUGUCAAGAAUAACGUUGGAGUCUCUCAAAAUCUGGUACGCUGUCCAAAUCAGAGGGCUUGGGACUCAUAUCGUUAUCUAUUGAGAAGCUUGAAAGCUUGGUGUCUUCUCCACAGCAGAGGAGCUUGGCUUUUUUAGUGCCCUCGCCUAGGUUGCGUUCUUAUCUCUAAUGGUUUUAGUUGUAGCCAUGGUAGUGAUCCUGGAUGACUUAGCUAUUCUAAUAUUUCAUGCAGUUUUUAAUGUUUUAUUGGUUUUAGUUGCAGUGUUAAAAUGCUUUAACGUUAAUGUUGAAAAAGGUUGCAAUUUUUGUUAA